rnacentral:pre_miRNA from 1 species
CUCAAUUACCCGGACAUGGUCGUACGGUGAAUGUUGUGUAUUGAAUUUCAAUGUUAACUGUAAGACUGUGUCUCGGUGCUUGUU